CCUACGGGAGGCAGCAGUAGGGAAUCUUCCACAAUGGGCGAAAGCCUGAUGGAGCAACGCCGCGUGGGUGAAGAAGGUCUUCGGAUCGUAAAACCCUGUUGUUAGAGAAGAAAGUGCGUGAGAGUAACUGUUCACGUUUCGACGGUAUCUAACCAGAAAGCCACGGCUAACUACGUGCCAGCAGCCGCGGGAAUACGUAGGUGGCAAGCGUUAUCCGGAUUUAUUGGGCGUAAAGGGAACGAAGACGGUCUUUUAAGUCUGAUGUGAAAGCCUUCGGCUUAACCGGAGUAGUGCAUUGGAAACUGGGAGACUUGAGUGCAGAAGAGGAGGGUGGAACUCCAUGUGUAGCGGUGAAAUGCGUAGAUAUAAGGAAGAACCCCAGUGGCGAAGGCAGCUCUCUGAUCUGUAACUGACGCUGAGGUUCGAAAGCGUGGGUAGCAAACAGGAUUAGAUACCCCAGUAGUC
rnacentral:rRNA from 1 species